CAAAGAUUCUCGACUGUGGUUGGCAAGGCCCCCAGUGGCCAAGGCAUGAGCCUGGAUGCCCUGCAAAUUGAGUACGUGUUAGGGAUGGGGGCCAUUCUUUAUAGUUUGACUCUGGAGAGCUAGGACCACCUUUCCCAGCCUCAGGGGUGCACAUCCUCAGGAGCUGCCUACCUCCAGAUAUUGUAAGUCCAUGCAGAAGAGGAAGGGCCCAGCUGGGGCACCUCUUGGUUGAGGAAUGAGUAUGUGACAUUUUCAUGUGGGCACAUUUUGAUACUACUUUAAAAAUAGACCAAGCACAGUGGCUCACACCUGUAAUUCCAGCACUUCGGGACGCUGAGAGAGGUGGAUCACCUGAGGUCAGGAGUUCGAGAUCAGC
rnacentral:lncRNA from 10 species